AAUCUACCUUAGUUACAGGGAUAGCCCGAGGAAACUCGGAUUAAUACCUGAUAUUCUUUAUAUUUCGCAUGAAAUUAAAAGGAAAGGUCAGCCGAACUAAGAUGAGCUCGCGUUCUAUCAGCUAGUUGGUGAGGUAAAAGCUCACCAAGGCUACGACGGAUAGCUGGUCUGAGAGGACGAUCAGCCACACUGGGACUGAGACACGGCCCAGACUCCUACGGGAGGCUGCAGCAGGGAAUAUUGCGCAAUGAGCGAAAGCUUGACGCAGCGACACCGCGUGUGGGAUGACGGAUCUAGGUUUGUAAACCACUUUCAGGAGGGAAGAAAAUGACGGUACCUCCACAAGAAGCCCCGGCCAACUACGUGCCAGCAGCCGCGGUAAUACGUAGGGGGUGAGCGU
rnacentral:rRNA from 1 species